AAAGGUUUGAGGAAUCAGUAAAUCCGGGCUACCACUCAACCGCUCCCUGAUCCCCACAGACAGACAGACCGACUCUUUGAUGAGGAGACCUGUUGUUGCUGUGUGAGAGGAAGCGGAGGGACCGUGAAGAGUGGGUGUCUCUGGUGUUAUGGAAGAAACCGCUUGUGACGCUACACUACUUCCUGUUAGAGCUGCUCGUUACACUGGAGAACUGGACGUGGAGGUGACACGCGCAAGUCGUUAUGGCGGAGGAGACAUUCAGGGUUAGCUCUGCUGGCGCUGGUCAACAUCUUCGCCAUUGCAUGCUGUGUUGAAGGAACACACCAGAAGCACGUGGAGAAAAGGUUCCUGUGGUGUUCCUACUGGAUCGGAUUGGGCAUCCUGUCCUCUGUGGGUCUGGGGACUGGUCUGCACACCUUCCUCCUGUACCUGGGUUCUCACAUAGCAUCAGUGACCCUAGAAGUGUAUGAAUGUGGAUCAGUAGACUUCCCAGAACCGCCCAAUCCUGAACAGAUCAUCUGCCCCCAGGAGGAGAUACGGGGGGGGG